AUACAUAACGACUCUCGGCAACGGAUAUCUCGGCUCUCGCAUCGAUGAAGAACGUAGCGAAAUGCGAUACUUGGUGUGAAUUGCAGAAUCCCGCGAAUCAUCGAGUCUUUGAACGCAAGUUGCGCCCGAAGCCAUUCGGCCGAGGGCACGUCUGCCUGGGUGUCACGC
rnacentral:rRNA from 17 species